GGUCCCAGAUAGCAUACUCUUGGAUGUGAUUUUGGAAUUAGAUCACUUGCCAGCUGUAUAGCAAUAAAGAUCCCAUUGUAAGAGAUAAACUGUGUUAAAAACCUGCUACUCGUUCUAGCAUUAUAACUGCUAUAAUUUUCACCAGUGGUGAGUUGGGAUGGGAUACAGGUGAGAAGAGAUGCAAUGACUUGCACAAUACUAAGCAUUUGAGAAAUAUGGAGGGAUUUGUCAAUUACCAACCUGGUGUACUGUGUGAAAGAAAGUUAGAAAGCCUCCAUGGAAGCAUUUAAAGAGAUCCACUAUUUCUGUAGCUAGAAAGCAGAUGGAACUGAAGAUUGGAUGAUGAACUAUAUGGAAAAAACUCACUUCCUCCUCUGUGUCUCUUUUGUUCUCACACUACUACCAUAGUCACAACACUUCCAACACCAGAUGUGUGGGUGUUUUUCCACACCAAGAAAUUCUGACACCAGCUAGAUGUGAUACAAUUUAUCUCAGUUCUGACACUGUUUACCUGGAGAUGGCAUCAGAUCCUACAAGCUGGAAUUAUGUUUUCAACAUCAGAUGAGUCAAAGGAAAUAAUAGCCGCUGUAGAACAGCUUUGUCUCGUGUCAAGCAUGAAAAAUGACUGAGAAGAACAAGUUUCAAAAAGAAAGAAAACUUUGAAGAGUAUGAACACACGUGUGUGUGCCCCUACAACUUGCACAGCCCUGUGGACAAUUAGAGAACGAAUAAGAGUGCAUCCUGCAGAAACUUGAUCUAGUAGGGGAGAGCAACAAUAUAAAAAUAGGUUGCUUGUCUUUUUUCCUCAACAAUUUGUAAGAGCUCCUGGUAUAAUAUAGAUAUCAGUCUUGUUAAUACAUGGAAACAAAAUUUGAACUUUUAGUGAGAACCUACUGAUUUUGUUUAUAUUUUUCCACAUGUGCAUUUUUAUGUGUGUGUAUUAAAAAUCUCCCUCUGUUAAUCAUAUUAGAUUUCCAUGCAUAGAUAACAGUUUGCCAAUCCAAAGAUUAUGUAUGUUAUUUGUAUAUUUACUUCCAUUUAAAUCUUAGACCCCUCUGGACAUUAUUUUUUAAUAUGGUAUGAAAUGGGGAUCCAGUUUUUCUAAUUGUUUCCAUUUGAAGAAUUGUUUUAAAUUACUUGCUUAAUCUAUUGAGUUCAAAUAGAAGUUGAAAAUAACAUCAUUACUCAAUUUAAGGAUGUGACUCUAUUGUUAUAUAGUCAACUGAGCUUUUCUUUUUAAUUAAUAGAAUUUAGUUUUUAGUGCAGUUUAAGGUUUACUGAAAAAUUGAGCAGAAAGUAUAGAGUUCCCAUAAAAUUCCUCUUCCCCUGGCCUCAGUUUCCUCUAUUAUUAAUAUCUUGCAUUGGUGUGGUACAUUUAUUAUAACUGGUGAACCACUAUUGAUACAUUAUUAUUAACUAAUGCCAGAGUUUACAUUAGGGCUCACUCUUCAUGCUGUACAGUUCUAUGGAUUUUGCCAAAUGCAAAAUACCUUGUAUAUAACAUUAUGAUAGUACAGAAAAAUUUCCCUGCCCUAAAAAUCCCCUGCACUCCACCCACUCAUUCUCUUACCCUUCCCCCAAACUCCUGGCAACCACUGAUGUUUUUGCACUCUCUAGAGUUUGCCUUUACAGAAUGUCAUAUAGUUGAAAUCAUAUGGUAUACUGCCUUUUCAUACUGCCUUAUUUAAUUUAGCAAUACACAUUUUAGAUUCCUCCAUGUCAUUUCCUGGUUUGAGAACACAUUUCUUUUUAUUGUUGAGUAAAAUUCUAUUGUAUGGUUGUAUAAUGGUCAGUUUAUCCAUUCAGCUCUUAAAGGAUAUCUUGGUUGCUAUCAAUUUUUGGCAAUUAUGAAUAAAGCUGCUACAAUCAUUUGUGUGCAUAUUUUUGUGGUAAAAUAAUUUUCCCAAUUCAUUAGAGUAAGUAUCUAGGAGUGCGAUCACUGAAUUGUAUCCUAAGACGAUGUUUAAUUUUGUAAGAAACUGUCAGGCUAUCUUCCAAAGGGCAGUGCCAUUUUGUAUUCCUACCAGCAGUGAAAAAGUGUUCCUGCCAAUUGGAUUUUUGAAUAAAUAUCUAUUACUCAAACUAAUAUCAUCAUGCAAU